UUCUUGUGGUCUAGUGCUAGUACCUUUAUUCACAAGACAACUCCUCAUAUCCCUGAAGUUCACAUCCCCGAGGAAGUUGUUCUUCAGCUUGCUUCUGGACUAAGAAUUGAAAUCAACCGUGGAUUUAC